GAUGAACGCUAGCGGCAGGCCUAACACAUGCAAGUCGAGGGGGAAGUUACUUUCGGGUGACUGAGACCGGCGUACGGGUGCGUAACGCGCAUACAAUCUCCCUUUAACUGGGGGAUAGCCCGGAGAAAUUUGGAUUAAUACCCCAUAGUAUAUAGGGACGGCAUCGGUUUUAUAUUGAAUCUUAGGUGGUGAAUGAUGAGUAUGCGUCCUAUUAGCUAGUUGGUGAGGUAAUGGCUCACCAAGGCGAUGAUAGAUAGAGGUUCUGAGAGGGAUGUCCCCCACACUGGUACUGGGAUACGGACCAGACUACUACGGGAGGCAGCAGUGUGGAAUAUUAGACAGUGGUCGGAAGACUGAUCCAGCCAUGCCGCGUGCAAGACGACGGUCUUAUGGAUUGUAUGCUGCUUUUGGAAGGGAAGAGUACGGUCUACGCGUAGUUUGAUGACGGUACCUUACGAAUAAGCACCGGCUAACUCCGUG
rnacentral:rRNA from 1 species